CAUAACGAACGUGGGAUUUGGCGACCGGCUUGCGGCCACGAAAAAACUUCCGCUAAAAGGUCCCGGCCCGGCAUCG
rnacentral:ncRNA from 2 species